rnacentral:rRNA from 1 species
UACGUAGGGUGCAAGCGUUGUCCGGAAUUAUUGGGCGUAAAGAGCUCGUAGGCGGUUCGUCGCGUCGGCUGUGAAAUCCCGAGGCUCAACCUCGGGUCUGCAGUCGAUACGGGCGGACUGGAGUUCGGCAGGGGAUACUGGAAUUCCUGGUGUAGCGGUGAAAUGCGCAGAUAUCAGGAGGAACACCGGUGGCGAAGGCGGGUCUCUGGGCCGAUACUGACGCUGAGGAGCGAAAGCGUGGGGAGCGAACAGG